UACAGAGGUCUCAAGCGUUGUUCGGAUUCAUUGGGCGUAAAGGGUGCGUAGGCGGCGCGGUAAGUCGGGUGUGAAAUCUCGGAGCUUAACUCCGAAACUGCAUUCGAUACUGGCGAUCUUGAGUCCGGAAGAGGUGAGUGGAACUCCUAGUGUAGAGGUGGAAUUCGUAGAUAUUAGGAAGAACACCAGUGGCGAAGGCGGCUCACUGGUCCGGUACUGACGCUGAGGUGCGAAAGCGUGGGGAGCAAACAGG
rnacentral:rRNA from 1 species